rnacentral:lncRNA from 1 species
CUCUCCCCUUGAACUCCUUUAUAGUAUAUAACAGUUAACCUUAUCAAAAAACAAAAUAUAUCUGAUACUCAAUCCUAGCCUAGAAGAUAGGUAGUUUUAUUGUACUUUCCCCCGCUCUUUCUUUGAUGCAAAGUUGCUGGACCUCUAUGUGACCAUUUACUAUUCCUUUCUGCUGUUUCUUGCUUGGCUUCCGAAUCUACUGCCAUGCACUAACCUCAUAUUUCCCAUGCUAACCAUCAAACGUAAUUUCAUUCAAGAGUUCUUCAUCCACACCCUUUUCCUUGUAGUGGAUCACAUGUCAAACUUUGACUAAACGCUUGGAAUUGGCAUCAUCAGUGGUGUUUUACUUGUGUAGUCAACCAGAUUCUUUACAAUGAAAUUAUACUCGUCACUUAUGGAUCUUGUGUUAAUAUGUAAAUCUGCAUGGUCAGCAUCCGAAUAGGCUAUUAUAUUUGAUAAACUCUGAGAAAGAAAUAUCCUCUUUGGACAAGCAUGAAUAUAUCUUAGGAUCCUUACAACUACAUUUUUAUUGGUUCUUUUUUCGCUUAUGCAUUAAGUAGCUUAUUUUCCAACUGCAUAUGAGAUGUACGUGCUGUUUAAUAUGAGAUGGGUGAGACUAUUAACUAUUUGCCUGGUUUUUGUCACACCUGACAAAUGUUGGAUUUUUUUCUUUGUAAGCUUUUGAUUUGUUGGGCAUGACACCAGAUCACGUUUCUUAGUGGGACAAUGCGUAUUUUAUGUUUAUAUAAAAGUGCCUCUUUUCAACGUACUUCAGCUCCUAGAGAACAUUCAAAUUUCCUUCAAUCCUGA